rnacentral:rRNA from 1 species
GGGACAACAGUUGGAAACGACUGCUAAUACCGCAUGAAGCAUAGGGGUCGCAUGAUCUUUAUGCCAAAGAUUUAUCGCUUCAAGAUGGCCUCGCGUCUGAUUAGCUGGUUGGCGGGGUAACGGCCCACCAAGGCGACGAUCAGUAGCCGGACUGAGAGGUUGAACGGCCACAUUGGGACUGAGAUACGGCCCAGACUCCUACGGGAGGCAGCAGUGGGGAAUAUUGGGCAAUGGGCGCAAGCCUGACCCAGCAACGCCGCGUGAAGGAAGAAGGCUUUCGGGUUGUAAACUUCUUUUAAGAGGGAAGAGCAGAAGACGGUACCUCUAGAAUAAGCCACGGCUAACUACGUGCCAGCAGCCGCGGUAAUACGUAGGUGGCAAGCGUUGUCCGGAUUUACUGGGUGUAAAGGGCGUGCAGCCGGGUCUGUAAGUCAGAUGUGAAAUCCAUGGGCUCAACCCAUGAACUGCAUUUGAAACUGUAGAUCUUGAGUGUCGGAGGGGCAAUCGGAAUUCCUAGUGUGGCGGUGAAAUGCGUAGAUAUUAGGAGGAACACCAGUGGCGAAGGCGGAUUGCUGGACGAUAACUGACGGUGAGGCGCGAAAGUGUGGGGAGCAAACAGGAUUAGAUACCCUGGUAGUCCACACUGUAAACGAUGAAUACUAGGUGUGCGGGGACUGACCCCCUGCGUGCCGCAG